UCAAGCUACAAAGGGCUGACGGUGGAUACCUAGGCACACAGAGGCGAUGAAGGACGUGGCGACCGACGAAAAGCUCCGGGGAGCUGGAAGCAAGCAUCGAUCCGGAGAUGUCCGAAUGGGGCAACCCUUAAGGUACGUCGUUGAAUACAUAGAUGACGUACAGCCAACCGGGCGAAUUGAAACAUCUUAGUAGCCCGAGGAACAGAAAGCAAUAGCGAUUUCCCAAGUAGCGGUGAGCGAACGGGAAACAGCCUAAACCAAUUGUUUUUACAGUUGGGGUCGUGGGACAGCGAUAAAAGACUGGAAAGGUUAGACGAAGUAGCUGAAAACUACACCAGAGGGGGUGAAAGUCCCGUAGUCGAAAAUUAGACCAGCUUAGCUGCAUCCCGAGUAGCACGGGGCCCGUGAAAUCCCGUGUGAAUCUGCGAGGACCAUCUCGUAAGGCUAAAUACUACUGUGUGACCGAUAGUGAACCAGUACCGCGAGGGAAAGGUGAAAAGAACCCCGAAAGGGGAGUGAAAUAGAACCUGAAACCGUCAGCUUACAAGCAAUGGGAGCUCGAUUUAACGAGUGACCGUGUGCCUGUUGAAGCAUGAGCCGGCGAGUUAUAGGCAGUGGCAGGUUAAGACAUUAAUCGUCGAAGCCAAAGCGAAAGCGAGUUUGAUAAGAGCGUUUCGUCACUGUUUAUAGACCCGAACCCGGGUGAUCUAACCAUGUCCAGGAUGAAGCUUGGGUAACACCAAGUGGAGGUCCGAACCGACUGAUGUUGAAAAAUCAGCGGAUGAGGUGUGGUUAGGGGUGAAAUGCCAAUCGAACCCGGAGCUAGCUGGUUCUCCCCGAAAUGUGUUGAGGCACAGCGGUCGAGAUUAAGUUUGGGGGUAAAGCACUGUUUCGGUGCGGGCUGCGAGAGCGGUACCAAAUCGAGACAAACUCUGAAUACCAAACCCGUACUCGGCCAGUCAGACGGUGGGGGAUAAGCUCCAUCGUCGAGAGGGAAACAGCCCAGACCACCAGCUAAGGUCCCCAAAUGACUGCUAAGUGAUAAAGGAGGUGAGAGUGCACUGACAACCAGGAGGUUUGCCUAGAAGCAGCCACCCUUGAAAGAGUGCGUAAUAGCUCACUGGUCAAGCGCUCUUGCGCCGAAAAUGAACGGGGCUAAGCAGUCUACCGAAGCUGUGGAAUA
rnacentral:rRNA from 1 species